rnacentral:rRNA from 1 species
AGGGCGGGACACGUGUUAUCCUGUCUGAAUAUGGGGGGACCAUCCUCCAAGGCUAAAUACUCCUGACUGACCGAUAGUGAACCAGUACCGUGAGGGAAAGGCGAAAAGAACCCCUGUGAGGGGAGUGAAAUAGAACCUGAAACCGUGUACGUACAAGCAGUAGGAGCACCUUCGUGGUGUGACUGCGUACCUUUUGUAUAAUGGGUCAGCGACUUAUAUUCAGUGGCAAGGUUAACCAUCUAGGGGAGCCGUAGGGAAACCGAGUCUUAACUGGGCGCCAUAGUCUCUGGAUAUAGACCCGAAACCGAGUGAUCUAGCCAUGGGCAGGUUGAAGGUUGAGUAACAUCAACUGGAGGACCGAACCGACUAAUGUUGAAAAAUUAGCGGAUGACUUGUGGCUAGGGGUGAAAGGCCAAUCAAACUCGGAGAUAGCUGGUUCUCCCCGAAAGCUAUUUAGGUAGCGCCUCGGACGAAUACUACUGGGGGUAGAGCACUGUUAAGGCUAGGGGGUCAUCCCGACUUACCAACCCUUUGCAAACUCCGAAUACCAGUAAGUACUAUCCGGGAGACACACGGCGGGUGCUAACGUCCGUCGUGGAGAGGGAAACAACCCAGACCGCCAGCUAAGGUCCCAAAUUACAGCUAAGUGGGAAACGAUGUGGGAAGGCUUAGACAGCUAGGAUGUUGGCUUAGAAGCAGCCAUCAUUUAAAGAAAGCGUAAUAGCUCACUAGUCGAGUCGGCCUGCGCGGAAGAUGUAACGGGGCUAAGUUGUAAACCGAAGCUGCGGCAAUAUCUUUUAGAUAUUGGGUAGGGGAGCGUUCUGUAAGCCGUUGAAGGUGUGUUGUAAAGCAUGCUGGAGGUAUCAGAAGUGCGAAUGCUGACAUGAGUAACGACAAGGGGGGUGAAAAACCUCCCCGCCGGAAGACCAAGGGUUCCUGUCCAACGUUAAUCGGGGCAGGGUAAGUCGACCCCUAAGGCGAGGCCGAAAGGCGUAGUCGAUGGGAAACGGGUUAAUAUUCCCGUACUUCUUACAAUUGCGAUGGGGGGACGGAGAAGGCUAGGUGGGCCUGGCGACGGUUGUCCAGGUUCAAGUGCGUAGGCU